UACGUAGGUGGCAAGCGUUGUCCGGAUUUACUGGGCGUAAAGAGCGCGCAGGCGGUCGUUCAAGUCGCGUGUGAAAGCCCCCGGCUCAACUGGGGAGGGUCACGCGAUACUGAUCGACUCGAAGGCAGGAGAGGGUAGUGGAAUUCCCGGUGUAGUGGUGAAAUGCGUAGAUAUCGGGAGGAACACCAGUGACGAAGGCGACUACCUGGCCUGUUCUUGACGCUGAGGCGCGAAAGCUAGGGGAGCAAACGGG
rnacentral:rRNA from 1 species